rnacentral:lncRNA from 1 species
GUUGAAUCGAAGCUUAGAGCGACUACUGACAGGCUUGAACAGCAAUUGGCAGAAGAGCAAGCUGCACGACUGAGGGCAGAAGAGAUUGCUCAAGCAGCUCAAACGAAGUCCAAUGAAGAAAUCCGUCAACUGAGAGAACAUUUGGAGAGAGCCCAGAGGGUGGCUGAGGAGCUUCGCCAGCAAGCUGAAAGUGGAAGGUGUGCUAUUUUGUGAUGACAUGUAGACACAGGUAAUGUAUUCUCUGGAGCAAUAAACUGUGUCGCAAGUUACUUUGUGCCAAGAAUGCAUUAAGUAAAUAAACUCGCUACUGUAUUUCUAAGUUAUGACAUCAUUUCUUAUGUAAAUCUUCAUUAUGGUGAGUUGUGUGAUUUUGAUACCUGUGCUUUUCGUUUUCGGCCCCGUCAAAUCAGCACUGAAAUGUUGCAUGCCGUCUCAAUUGUGAGUUCAAGUAUUGAGAGUAAUCACUUUGUGCGUAUUAUAUAAAAUGUUAGUUUCUGUCGUAGUUAUUAGAACCGAACCGGUCAAGGCGUCGGGUUCCAUCGGUUAUAUAAUAAAUAAAUAAUAAAAAUAUAUUAAAUAAAAAGAAUCAUUAAAAAUUAUAAAAUGGAAAUAAAGAUACUCUUUUUUAUACAAUAAUUCAACAAUAAAUAUAAAUAAUAAAUAUUUAAAAGAAAGUAUAAAAAUAUAUUAAUUAUAACAAAAUAUAUUAAGAUGAUUUUUUUUUCUUUUCAAUUUAAAUUUUUAAACGAUUACUUAUUGCUUAUUUUUUGUAUAUUUAAAUAAAAAACAUAAAAAUUAUCAAUAAUGGCAUUAUUAAGAUAAUAAUGUGCCUAUUGUGUUGUCUUUAUUGUUUUUAUUUUUUCUUCCUAUACUUUUUUAGUUUUUAUUUUUAUUUUUAUUUUGUAAUUAAAUUAUUUUGAUAAUAUGUAUCCUCGAUAUAUAACUAUAAUAUAAUAAAUAGAAAGAUAGUGAUUGUACAUUUUUUUAAUUGAGCACUUAAUUUUUUAUUUUUAUUAAAAAUAAGUUUUAAACAAUACUAGCUAAAUAAUAAUUUACCAAAAUCAAAAUUCAAAAAACCAAAAAUGAAAAAAUUAAAAACUACUAGGCCCCAUUAAAUAUUUGUGUUUUUUAAAAUAUUUGUGUUUUUUUUACUUUUUUCAAAAAUCGGCCCGGUUCACUAAAAUACGGGCCGGGUUCAAUGGUUUUUUUAAAAUACCGGCCAAUUCGGCCGGUCAAUCCGGUUCAUAUGCAUUUACGGGAUUUUAAUAAACCGUCCCGGUUCAUUGUCUGGUUUCGGUUCAACCAGUUUGAACCGGCCGCCGGUUUCGAUCGGGUUUUAUAACUAGGGUUUCUGUAUUAUUUUUUUUCUCUCAUAUACUCUUAAUAGGAUAACUAAUGGGUGUUGGUAACUUAAGAUAAAUUUUUGUGAGGACUCAACUAUGGGUUGAGUUUAGUUUUUUCACGCUUGGUCAUUUGUAUUGCAUGUUUUUUUCAUCUGAAUCCAGUGAAAUACACGCCGUUGAUCGAACAGACUGUCAGUUUGGUCUCCCAUGUGUCUUGAAAUUCUACGAUUGGACAUGUAUUAUUGUAUUAUGCUCAUGUCGGGUUCGAAGGGUUGAUUGAAACCAAUACAUAAUAAACCGACAUAAACUAGAUUCAAACUUCUCCUUAAUCAAACCUACAUAAACUAUUCCUAAAUUUUUUAGGUGAAAUUAUCUUUUUACCAUUAAUUAUCUAGGUGUUUAGGCCAAUAUUAUGAGCACUACAAGGAUUGCUCUUAUAUAUUCUCCUCUUACCCUUCUGAGAUCACCAAUCAAUGCACAACAACGAACGAGACUAUCGUAAAUCUGAUGUCACUAAUUAAAGAAAUCAAAAAUUUCUUAGAACAAGUAAAGACCUAUGAAUUUGUUCAAUAGAGACAUCCUUAUAUAUGUAUAUUUCCAUGUCAUAUAUACAGGGAUGAGCCAUAAAUUUAUCCUGCGAGGCUAAGACCAGUUUCUAAAACAAUUUAAGUUAGCUUUAUAUCCAUCAGAGUGGAAAGAGAAUUGGUACAUAUGCAUGUAAUAAACAAAAUAAGAAAACAACUAAUGGAAUUUAAAUAGUCAUUUCUUAAUUUUUUAAUUAUUUUAUAUGUAUUUGGACUUACAUAAUAGGAAUUUCAUUACUAUAUUAAUUUGUUAAAAUUUAUUUUGUAACCAAUAUAUGCCAGGCAUAUUUAAAGGCUAUUUUAAUGCUUUUUAAUAAAAGGAUACAACAAAAGGAAAUAUACCAUUCCUCAUAUAAAUCAAAAUCCAAUUGGAUUAUGCUAUUUUAAUCAAAUCAAAUCAAAAAAACACAAAAUUUAGGCUAUAUUUGAAUCAAGGAAAUUUGAAUAAGAAAAAAUAAAAUAGAAAUAAAAAAGUUAGAUGAUCAAUCAUUUUAAACCAUUUGAUCAUUUAACUUUUCAUUUAUACUUGGAUCGUGUAACUUUUUCUAUUUUCAUUUUUUGUCUCUCCUCAAAUACUUGAUCAACACAACCUUUAAGGGACCAAUGGGUAGGAGCUCUUCAACAUCUUAGGGAGGGCCAUUCUUUCCUUAUAUCGUUAUGAAAAUAGUAUAAUACUUAUGGUGGUUUAUAGUGCAAAACUUUUUUCUUUUAAAUGUGAGGGGAGUCGUGGCAACCUUUGCCAAAUGAUUGCUCCGGCUCUGUAAAUUUAUAAAACAAUGUUUAAUGGCAAGUUUGGUCUCCAAGUAUUAUAGCAUGCUUGUGUCGUAUUAUGGUUCCCAAUGGAGCAAUUCUAUUAAAUUUAGUUCUCAUGUUUUAAAUGUGUAUUUUAAAUGGGUUCCAUCUCUAAAAACACAUUAUUUGUGUAUAAAAUUUCAUGAAAUCUGUCUAUGGAUUGUACAUAAAAAUUUAUGAAUUUUGAAAAUUUGAUUUGAAAUCUUUUUCAUAUUUCGUGAGUUUUUUUUUGGAAGUAGGAAUUUAAAUACCAUUUUGGAAAAACAUGAGACUAAAGUUAAUAUAAUUGAUAUAUUGAGGACCACACAAAUUACGACACAGGCAUACAUUGGGAAACAAAACUUGCCAUUAAGACUAUAAACAAGGUGUAUAUGAAGCAGGGGUAAUAAUGGAAACAAAAUUCCCUGAUCAGAGAACACGAAGGAUCUUAUUCUCUAAAUUUCUCAAAACCCAUACUCAUAAGAAUCAAAUAAUGAUGAAACCGUUGGUGGGAUUGCUGGUAGAGAAAGGGGCCAAGAAAUAUCCGGCUGAUCAUGAGCGUGAAAGAUAAUUGUUUGUGUUAUAUUGUUGGGUUAACUACACUUUGCCUUCUCGAAGUAUUGAUCCAUUAUCACUUUGACCCUUACACAAAGAUUUUGUGACAUAGUCCUUAAACCUAUUAAUUUUUUCAAUUAACACUAAUGCCUGAACUCUGUCCCAACAUUGUUGGACAUGUGGGCAUAACGUGUGUGGCCAAAUGGCCACCCAAAUAAAACUUAUACACUACCACCCCAAACUUAAUCAAUAAUGCUAUAGACAUAAAACGUUUACUAAUAAACACGACAAAAUCACAUGUUAUUUAAAUCCCCCCACAAUGUAUUUUCUACGUCAGCGAUAAUGCCAUAGGGAAGAAUGACAGUUAUUAUUUAUGUAUAAACUCUUUUAUGUUGUGUUUGUUGUAAGAAUGUGGGGCGACCAACUAACAUUCAAUAUUGCUCAUCGGGCUCAGAACUAGACUCUCGGCUCUUACUCUCGGUGCAACUGAGUAGACAGACAAAAGUAAUAACCGGGAAGAGGCCACCUCAAAUCCCUCUCGCGUGUGAAUAAGAACCAAGGCGAGUAUAAAAUAAAAUAACCGAGCUCUCAGAAUUUAUGGUGGUGUAUUGAGCGUUACCUUUUUAGUACUGGGUGAGUGACUUUAAUAGGUAAACGGAGAUGUGUAGGAUAAUCAGGAGAAGAUUUUUGGGCAGCUAUGUUUUGGAAAGUAUAUCCUUGAGUCCAAGGAGAUAACAGGAGAAUACUAAUUGAGAGCAUCAGUCCCACAAUUAUAGGGAUUGUGGAGGCCUGGGAAUCCUCGCGGAGAGGUCUUUAACUGGGUGGAAACGUUGACAUAGAAGGGCUUAAGACAGAAUCCUUGUAUAGAUAACUUUUAAUAGAGAUGGACUCUGAUGUGACGAUGUGAACGACCUCGCCCAAGGCGAGCUGGAGCAAGCUUGUACACAUGUUGGCGAAGCGAUCCAUUGACGAUUAAGUGAUAGGCGACCAGGACUAUAUAAGUGCUAUGCUGAGGUAAUCCUUCAGGCGAUGUGCUCGACUCAAAAUAUAAAUCGGCAAAUAUUUUACCCUAUAUCAGUAGCUCCCCUACUCGAGAUGCCGAGAUGAAACAAGGGACCUACGAGCAAUUAGGAAAAUAAUUACUUCCUAGUGACGUGGUCAUGCAAUAAUAGUGUGUUUCCACAAACGGACACGUGGACGAGGGCAUUAAAUGUCGAAAGAGGCGGUGCAUUAAUGAUGCUGGCAGAACAGCGGCGCAUUAAUGAUGCUUCUGGUAGGAGAGGCGGUGCAUUAAUGAUAUUUUUGGUGGGAGAGACGGUUAUAAGCUCGAGAGUCGAAACGUCGCACAAUCUUAGACGUUAGAGAGGAUGGAUCUCAGCCCUUGGUACCUCCUCUCUUACUUAUUUGCACUCUUUUGUUUGCGUUGUUGAAUUGCUGCUCCUGUUUCAAUUUUCACCUCGCCCUAGUCAAUUUUAAUUUUUGUGUAAAUAAAUUUUAUUGUAGCAUAAUUAAAGUUUAUAUCAUCUUACAUUAUAGUUUCACAGGUUCAUCGGAAUGCCAACGGAUGGUCAAUCAUACAGUCAAAUGCAGUAUUCACAUGAAGGCUGCAAGUUGAAUCAUGAAUAGUCAUGUCAUAUGCAGAGUCACGUGUUAUUUAUCUUUUCUAAGGAGUCCAGACUCUUACUCAUUUUAUGUCAUGUCAUAUGUAGAGUCACGGGUUCACACUUCACGUGAAGGCAUGUGAGCC